GCUUCAAAAUAUCUGUGUUUGUCUAUAAAUACAUAUUCUUCAAGAGAUGAUAUAUGUGCUUCCCAUCCUAAACUUGCAAUUUAUAUAUUAAAAGAAAUAUGAAACCUUCCUACAAAUUGAAGUCAUUUGUUGCUCUUUUAGCAAUACUUUUAUUUCUAAUGUCAUCUAUGAUGGUUACUGAUGCCCAAUCCAAUUUCAAACAUGGGCGAAAACUGUUUCAAAAUGAUUAUUCUGCGCCUGGUUACCCAACUACCCCUGGAGGAUAUGGAGGAUAUCCGUGACUCUUCUCACAUACUUUUUAUCUCUAUUUUAAUUUUAAUAUUAUUUUCAUUUAUUAUAAAAUUAAUUUAUAAUAAAGGAAAAAUGAAAUUAAGAGAGACAGAUAAAGGGCUUAAGAAAAUGGAGAGAGAAAGACAAGAUCCAGACAAGUUAUAUAGUACUUAUUUAUAUAGCUUUUGAUAUAUUUACUAAAUAAGAAGUUAUAAAUUAUUUGUAUUUUAUUUGGCAGUAUAAUUAUAACUAUUUGGCAUGUCCAAUUUUAUUGCAAUUAAUAUGUAAUAUCAUUCAUUUAUGUAAGAUGGCGCUCGUGCCUUCUUUGCUUAUAUUUUUUUUGAGUUUGUCUAGUAUUUGAUGUUGUUUUGAUAGUACAAUACUGGGAUUCUGGGAAUGUGGUCGUUAUUUUAAUUUUUAUUUUUGAGACCAUGAAGAUGAAGAGAUGUCAUUAAAUGUUUUAAGUUCUUCUAUGAUAUGUUAAAUGAUGAAAGAUGCUUAUGUUGAGAAC